CACAGCAGAAUGCAAGGAGCUUUAGGUUCCUGUCCUGACUUUGCUGGGUCCUCACUGUGUGACUUCGGGCAAGCCAAUCUCCCUCUCUGAGCUAAGUUUCCUCACUUGCAAAGAAAGGGUAUUGCCACUUAUGUUGCAGGUGCACUGUGGGGCUUAGAUAGGGCAUGCACAGGCCCUGGCACACCAGAGGCUUGCAGGAAAUGGCAGCUAGAAUUAACCAUCACAUCCAUGCCUUGGAAAGAUCAGCAUCUACGCACUCUUUUAACACUGUUCCCUGAACACCUGCUCUGGGCUAGGCAUGUCUUGGCGCGGAAUACAGAGUGAACAAGACAGAGGAGGUUUCUGCCUUGUGCAGUGUUUCUGGAAGGAGGGGACAGGCAAUUGACAAAUAAAUAGAAAGAUAAUUCAGGGACUGGUGAGUGCUCUGGAGAAAUAAAACAGGGUGACGUGAGAGAGAAAGAUGGGGUAGGGUGUCUGGGAAAGCCUCCUGGAGAUGACAUUAGAGCUUGACCUGAAAGAGUGGAAGAGGCCUGUGUGAAGGUCUGGGGCAGAAGGUUUGGCCCAAAAGGCACUCCGCCAAGCUGGGCGAGAACUUGGUCCAUUCCUGGGACAGAGUGAAGCCCAGGAUGGGGUGGUGGUGGCGUGGGAGGUGAAGGGCAGAGCUGUAGUGGUAGUACCGGAAGUCAGAGAGGUGGGCUGUCCAGGUCCUGUGGGUCCUUGUCAGCCAGGGGGAGGGGCCCGGAUGUUACAGAAGUGGAAUAAGGGCCAUCCAUCAGGAGGUUUUAAGGAGCAGGUGCAACACACAGCGAGUCUCUGGGUGAAUUCUCCCUAUCUCCAGUCCCCAGUUCUCCGACCUCAUUUGCCCAGACAGUCUCUUUAACAAAUUGCCAUUUCUGGAGAAUUGCGAGCUUCUGUUGAGGAUCCGAGCAGGUUCCGCCCUCAAUUCAAGGGAAACCGCGGCCCACAGUCCCAGGGGUCAGGCCCGGAUCCACCUGCGGGAUCCACCCCCUUGCACCCUGAGAACCUGUAGCGCUCCCGGUGCCCUGCGGGGGCCCUGCGCAUGCGCUCUCUCCUUUCUUGGGCUCCCUCUCCCGGGGAAGCUGUUGUUGUCAUCUCGGUUCUGUAGAUGAGGAAACUGAGGACCCAGCAUCUCCCACUCCCUGCUCACCUCAGGACGUGUCUCCCUCCUCCCGCAACAGCCCACACGGCACCCUGUAAAUAACUGCAUGUUCCCAACACCUCUCCUCCUUCUCCUUGGAAACCUGCUUUCUCUUUGGACUCGGGCUGCCGGGCUGUGCGAUUCCCGGCUUGGCUCAGUGCGGAGCGUGGCGGCAACUCGCAUCUGCAGGCCUGGGCGGGCAGGCGCCUUCGUUCACUAGCUGGGUGACCUUCGGUAGGUCACUUCACCUCUCUGAGCCUCAGUGUCCUCACUGGGAGUGCGGGGGGAUCAUAGCUAAGGUCUGUGAUGAGAUUAGAUGAGGACUUGUACACAGGUGUCCGGCUGAGUGUGGAACACGCUCGCGUGCUUAAUGAAACUGGUUCCUCUUUUCUUCCCUUCUCUCGUUCUCCUUUCCCUCUUUUCCUUACCUAAUCAGUUCUGCGUCCUAGAUGUUUUGGAGGGAGGUCGGGGUCCACACACGCGGAUGCCGGUAGGACCAGACACGUGACAGAGAGGGGACACUGCUGGGCUCCUUGUUAACAAAGGGCAUGGGAAGAAGCCGGCUUCCCAAGCAGACCUGCACAGAGCUGGUAACCUGGGGGAGGCCCAUCACAGGGAGGACGUGGGCCUGGGUUGUCUAGGGGCCUCUGAUGCCUUCUAAGGGCUCCCUCCAACUCAGGGCCGGAUGCAGGCUCCCCUAGAUUGCAGGAGCCACUUACUUAGAUUUCCUGCCAAACCAAAGUUUCAUAUUUAUGUUUCAUUUCACCUAGCGGAAGGGAGAAGUCGAAUGCGGUCUUUCACUGGCUUUUGGUAGAUCUUCUGGAAGAAGUGGGAAGGGGCUUUACUAAUGGGGAGGGGCGAAUCAACAUGACCCCUGACGUCCAGAGCCUGUGGAAUGAUGGUAAGAGCAGGAGCUAACUUUGCUGAGCUACUUUGUGCUAUCCGCCCUGUAUGCACUACCUUGCUUAAGUUGCACAACAACCUUAUGAAGUGAGUAAUUAGUAUUAUGUCCAUUUCACAGAGGAGGAAAGAGGCAGAGAGAGGCCAUGAAUCUUGUCAAGGCCAGACAGCUAGAAGGUGCCAUGGAAGAUUUGCAUCCAGGCUGUGUGGCCCUCGCCUCACUGUUCUUCUGGGAUCAGGAGGUCUGAAUGGGAGAUGGGACUCACUCUGCAGCCGAGUGGAGGGUGAGGAGACACUAAGUGAUUAUUGAGCACUCUCUGUGGGUCACUGCCUGCUGCCGUGUGGUCACCCUGUGGUCUCUGUGUAGUUGCUAUGGUGGACGAAGUUUGUCUUAGUCUGCCCUGUAGCCUUUCUUCUGUACAGCUCCUUAAUAUUCCUUUGGAGAUUCACCCUCCCCUUAUUCUCUGGCCAUGUGGUUUGGAUAGAGUCCUCCAAUUCUCCUUGUUCAAGCUCUACAGACUGGUGCAUAACCCAGGCCUAAGAUUAAGCUUUGGACAUGUGACUUGAGAUGGUCCAGUAAGACUCAGUCAUGGAAAUUAUUCUGGAAAUGUUAGGAAAAUUCUUCUUCUGUUCGAGUUACUGAACUAAGAAAGUGUGAGCCUAGAGCUGGAAGGUCACAGUGUGGAAGGAGCCUGCAUAAGGGAGAAGCCAAGCCAGAGAGAAACAGAACUGAUAGACAGAGAGAGACUGAGCCCUGAGGAUAUUGUAUGACUCCUGGAUCAAGCUCUUCCUGAAAUCCAGAAUCUGCCAUUGAAUUUUUUAAUUACAUGAAGUAAUAGAACCCUUUUUUGCCCUUGAAGCAUUUUGCUUGCUUUUUCUAUCACCUGCAUCUAUAAUAGGAUUGGCUGGCAUCGUGCUAACUACUCUAUGUAUGUUAUUACAUUUAAUCCAACGAGGUAGUUGAUAUGGUGCCCACUAUGCAGAUGAGGGAACUGAGGUUCAGAGAGACUUCUGCUGGUUAAGGUGUCACAGCCAGUACAUGGCACAGCUGGGAUUACACCCCAGGCAUUUUGACUCUAGACUGCACCUUGAUCACCCUGCUGUAUGGCAGGAAGGCUGGUUCCCCCCGCCCCCCAAAUACCUCUUGAAAUGUCCCCUCUCCAAGUCACAUCCAACUGCUCUCCCUGCUUCUACUCUCAUCCCCUUUAAUCCCUGCUUCCUUGGAAGUCUUCUCUGGCUACACCUUCAGACUAAACUCUGUUUCCUGGUAGACAUUUUUAUGGCCCAAGGUACUUUUCUUCUUAGCUCGACUGAACUUCAAUAAUGAUUUGUUCCAGGUUUAUUUCUUCCGCUGGGUGGGAGUCCCACAGGGGCAAAGAUGACGUCUGUUUGCCCAUUGUUGCAGCACUGAAGCCUGGCACAGUGCCUGGCCCGUGGUGGGCACCUGGUAAAUGUUUGCCGAACAAAUGGAUUGUGCAGUUUUUCACUCCCACUGGGGCCCUGGAUCAUUGUACACCUGUUUGACUGCAGUGUUAUAUCAUUCUGACACUGCAAAAUUCGCUUGUGCUCUGCUGUAUUGUAGGGUACCUGUGAUCUUGGACGCGCCUUAUCCUGGCUCUCCCUGUAAGACAGUGAGUUCUUUGAAGACUGGGGCAGCGUCUCCGACCAUCAUCCACUGAGAGUAGUAAUAAUACUAACAAUGAUACAAGGAAUAAUACUAAUGAGGAGCACUUACUAUCUGCCAGGCACAGCCCUGAGGCUUUACACGCAUUGCCUUAUUGAAUCCUUACCUCAACUCAUGCGAAUGUACUGUUAUGACCCCAUUAUACUUAAGGGCAAACUGAGGCUCAGAAGGUUAUGUGGCUCUUUUGCUUCUGCCGUUUGAGUUAGGGGUCUGCCUGGUGUAAUCAAAAGGGAACUUGUUUUUACCGGUGACUUUAAUGGGAGCCUGCCAGGCCGGGCUGGAAGGCAGUGAGGAUAGCAUAAAGGCUGAAGGAGAGCUAAAAGGUUGACUCAGCAGCUGAAGGCCUGGCUGUGCCCUGCUGAAAGGAGGAGAGUCUUUGUUGCAAAGGUCAAAGGUGGGGGGGGCGGAUAAGCAUCCAGGAGGAGGGGAACCCUCAGGGCGAGGGAGCCGAGGCUGAGGGAGAGUUCAGGGGUGUUGGAGAAAGGGCCCUGGCUGGGGAGUCUGGGCUCCUACUCUGGCCUCAGCACCUCCUGGCUGUGUGGCCAGGCUCUGGCCUUAGCACCCCACGGCAAGGCAUUGGCACCUCUCUGAGCCCACUUUGCAGUGUUGACGCCAGCCUUGACUUAACACCUGGAAAUUGCCUAGUCAGUGCCUGGCAAAGAGUCACGGGCACUGUGUAUGUGGCAUAGGCUACAUGCCUAGGUGGCUGCGGCCCGUCAUCUGCCUGAACUUGGGUCAUCCUCGCAACAACCCCUGGGAGAGGGCCCCUUGAGGAUCCCAUUCUGCAGCGGAGACGGGGCAGAACAGGGCAGCCGUUUGCUCAGGGUCGCUCAGCACGUACGAGACAGCUGGAUCUGAGUUCUGGCUGUGUGGUUCCGGAACUUCCACCUUACCAUUCUGGCCUUCUCAGGGUUGGAACCUGGUUAUCAGUGAGAGACAGUUGCUCACUUUGUAUUCUUGCCUCCUUUGGCCAGUGUCUGUACUCCUGGUUUUACCUUUGAGGGACCGCUCCCCUUUCUCCCCCGAGCAGGUCUCGGGGGGCAGUAGACAGACAUUUGUCUGCAAACCUGUGGUGGUCCGUGCUGGCACCGGGGCACGGCCCGUUCGGCAGGAGAUGGGGGAAGGGGUGCCGGCACCAGGUUUCUCAGGGGUCCCCUCAGCGGACCGUGGUGAUGUCGUGCGGGGGGCUGGCGAGGGGCCCAGAGGUAAGGCACCGGCGCCUCGCUCACCGAAGUCACACCUCCGCAGCCUUGCCAGUCUCCACACCACCUCUGCUAUUUACUUAACAUUGCCCUCUAAUUUCACGCGCUUGCAAAAAUAAAACCCUUCACUGCGUUGACUUUAAAAGGAGACCUCGGCUGGCUACUUCACACCAGAAAACCAGUGUCACUUGCUGUAACAGAGGGUAACCAGGCGCAUAAACGCAACGGAAAGGAAACGCGUGCCGACGUCCAGCUCCCCGCUCUGGGGGCCUGACACCCGCCCUGGGUGUCAGGCCAGCACCCUUGUCAUUGAAAGGGAGGGGGCUGAUAUCAGAGAGGUGUUAAGGAUCCCCCAGGCACCAGCCCGAGACUUCCUCCUGGAUGCAACUGACGUGUUGUAAAAGAACCGAAAAAGAGGACCACGUGUUUCCGUGUUUGACUUGCUGUCGAAAGCGGUACCUGCCAAGCCACCUGGAGCCAGUGGCUGAGGGACCGAGGCUUCCGUGCUCUGGAAAACGCACCCCUUUCCCUGGGGUCGGCCUCACUUCCCCUCCCGCCUGAGCUCUCCUCGGCCUCAGCUCCACCGACGCCAAGGAAGCAAGGCCUUUGUCUCUCUGAGGCUCAGUCUCCCCGUCUAGAAAACACGGAUAAUGACUUCCUCUUGCCAGGGCUCUUUGGAAGAUUAGAAUGAGACACUAUGUGUCAAAGUGACUCCGCACGCUGGCUGGUACCCGGUACCUGGGCAGCGAGCCUUCCUGCCCUUUGUCCCAACUUGCUCAAAUUUAGAAAUUCUGUUCGCAGCCACAGCUGUCUGCCUCCAUACCCUUUCCUCUCUUGCAGGCUCUUUCUUUUCACCUAGAGAGUGUGACAGCUUUGGGCUCAGAUCUUCUCUCUUUCAUCCCCUCCAGGGUCAGAUCACCUCUCUGAGGCUCAGUCUGCUCAUCUUCAAAAUGGGAACAGUCACAGCCACCUCAGCAAGUCACUGUACGGACAAGGAAAUACUUUGUCAUUGGUGACGUUUUGCGCACACCCCCUUGUUAUAGCAGCUGGGGAACUGCCGGAGCUCUGCGGUCCGAGAUCGAGAUCGCUGUAUUCCUCUGGUCGAAGGAGGCCAUGUGACCUAAACCAAACCAAUGGGAAUGAAGCCUAGGACCUUCGCGGGUGCUACCGGGAGAGAGGUCCUGCCUUUGCAGGUGACUUGGAGCUGUUGGACGAAUGGUGCCAAUGGCGACAUCUCGCCACCCCCUGGAGAGAGCCUGCCCGAGGACACUGGACAGCCCAGCGGAGGGCAGGGCUGAGAGAGGCGGAGGGAACUAACUUCUUGAUGACGCCAUGAGGACCCAGGACCCAGGUGUGCGUGCGUCUUGGGCAAACCACCACCUUACCUUUUUCUUGUUACUUAAGGGCAGUUGGAGCUUUCAAAAACCACUGGCAACUUUUUGUCUUACUGACUCACCCACAAUGAAUAAUUUGGUUCCAGCAGAACCUUUUUCAACAAGGGGGAUAUGGCAGCCUCUGGGAAUAAGGUGCCGGUGUUUAUUUAGACUUAAUUUGCUAACAUUUGGUGAACAUUUCUGUGUUUGUGUUCUUGAGGGAUAUCGACCUCGUAAUGCCUUGUCUGGUUAUGGGAUCAAGCUGAUGCUGACCUUGUAAAAUGACUUGGGAAGGUUCCUUCCUGAAAGAUUUUGUGCCGAAUUUGUGUUAUUUCUUCCUUAAGUGGUCGGUGGGAUUUGCCAGUGAAGCACGAUGCAGAUUUGUGAUGCUAUAAAUUAUCUUAAAAAACGAGGAGCUGUUUUGUUCACGGUUUCUGUCUGAGGUUGGCUGAACUAUUCCCCAACAAUUUUGUGACCUGAAUUCUUGUUGUCAGCUGCUCCUGCCUCUGAUAACGUAAUACAAUCUAAAUUCAUGUGUCAUGGGUUUGUGGUUUUUACUUAAAAAAAAAAAAAAAACCCAACAAAUUGUUUGCCAUCUGUUUUUUUUUUAAA